UAACACAUGCAAGUCGAGGGGCAUCAGGUAGAAAGCUUGCUUUCUUUGCUGGCGACCGGCGCACGGGUGAGUAACACGUAUCCAACCUGCCCUUUACUCGGGGAUAGCCUUUCGAAAGAAAGAUUAAUACCCGAUAGCAUAAUGAUUCCGCAUGGUUUCAUUAUUAAAGGAUUCCGGUAAAGGAUGGGGAUGCGUUCCAUUAGGUUGUUGGUGAGGUAACGGCCCACCAAGCCUUCGAUGGAUAGGGGUUCUGAGAGGAAGGUCCCCCACAUUGGAACUGAGACACGGUCCAAACUCCUACGGGAGGCAGCAGUGAGGAAUAUUGGUCAAUGGGCGCUAGCCUGAACCAGCCAAGUAGCGUGAAGGAUGAAGGCUCUACGGGUCGUAAACUUCUUUUAUAUAAGAAUAAAGUGCAGUAUGUAUACUGUUUUGUAUGUAUUAUAUGAAUAAGGAUCGGCUAACUCCGUGCCAGCAGCCGCGGUAAUACGGAGGACCCGAGCGUUAUCCGGAUUUAUUGGGUUUAAAGGGAGCGUAGGUGGACUGGUAAGUCAGUUGUGAAAGUUUGCGGCUCAACCGUAAAAUUGCAGUUGAUACUGUCAGUCUUGAGUACAGUAGAGGUGGGCGGAAUUCGUGGUGUAGCGGUGAAAUGCUUAGAUAUCACGAAGAACUCCGAUUGCGAAGGCAGCUCACUGGACUGCAACUGACACUGAUGCUCGAAAGUGUGGGUAUCAAACAGGAUUAGAUACCCUGGUAGUCCACACAGUAAACGAUGAAUACUCGCUGUUUGCGAUAUACAGUAAGCGGCCAAGCGAAAGCAUUAAGUAUUCCACCUGGGGAGUACGCCGGCAACGGUGAAACUCAAAGGAAUUGACGGGGGCCCGCACAAGCGGAGGAACAUGUGGUUUAAUUCGAUGAUACGCGAGGAACCUUACCCGGGCUUAAAUUGCAGUGGAAUGAUGUGGAAACAUGUCAGUGAGCAAUCACCGCUGUGAAGGUGCUGCAUGGUUGUCGUCAGCUCGUGCCGUGAGGUGUCGGCUUAAGUGCCAUAACGAGCGCAACCCUUAUCUUUAGUUACUAACAGGUUAUGCUGAGGACUCUAGAGAGACUGCCGUCGUAAGAUGUGAGGAAGGUGGGGAUGACGUCAAAUCAGCACGGCCCUUACGUCCGGGGCUACACACGUGUUACAAUGGGGGGUACAGAAGGCAGCUAGCGGGUGACCGUAUGCUAAUCCCAAAAUCCUCUCUCAGUUCGGAUCGAAGUCUGCAACCCGACUUCGUGAAGCUGGAUUCGCUAGUAAUCGCGCAUCAGCCACGGCGCGGUGAAUACGUUCCCGGGCCUUGUACACACCGCCCGUCAAGCCAUGGGAGCCGGGGGUACCUGAAGUACGUAACCGCAAGGAUCGUCCUAGGGUAAAACUGGUGACUGGGGC
rnacentral:rRNA from 1 species